UGCCCAGCAACUCCUAUCCCUACCUCCUAAAGGUACUGGCCGGGGUACGAGUAACCUUGGGGAAGA
rnacentral:ribozyme from 1 species